UACGGGGGGGGCAAGCGUUGUUCGGAAUUACUGGGCGUAAAGGGCGCGUAGGCGUUUGCUAAGUUGGAUGUGAAAACUCUGGGCUUAACCCAGAGCCUGCAUCCAAAACUGGCAAACUUGAGUACUGGAGGGGAAAGCGGAAUUCCUGGUGUAGGCGGUGAAAUGCGUAGAUAUCAGGAGGAACACCGGUGGCGAAGGCGGCUU
rnacentral:rRNA from 1 species